GAACCCUUCAAUGAGAGCAUUCGCCCAGACCGCAGUCACUGCCAGGAAGGAGGCAGCCUGGCCUCAGAGGAGCAGAAAGCCAGUAAAUGUAAACCCUGUGUCAUGAGGUGGGACCUCCGGAUGCUGUCCCCUGCUUCCUGAAGUUGAGGACUGACUGUGCACCACAGGCAGAGGGAGACUAAAUGCAGGUCCCAGUGAUGCGGAUUUCUCUGACAUUUUAUUUAAAUGUGAGUUGAGCAAAUAAUGUAAGAGAGCAACUACAGCGA
rnacentral:lncRNA from 1 species